rfam:Camelus ferus unplaced genomic scaffold scaffold1906, whole genome shotgun sequence.
GGGAGGGUAUACUCAGUGGUAGAGUGCAUGCUUAGCAUACAUGAGGUCCUGGGUUCAAUCCCCAGUACAUCCA